rnacentral:rRNA from 1 species
CCUGACGCAGCGACGCCGCGUGAGUGACGAAGGCCUUCGGGUCGUAAAGCUCUGUCAAGUGGGAAGAACCCGCAUAUGGCCUAAUACCCAUAUGCCUUGACGGUACCACUGAAGGAAGCACCGGCUAACUCCGUGCCAGCAGCCGCGGUAAUACGGAGGGUGCAAGCGUUAUUCGGAUUUACUGGGCGUAAAGCGCAUGUAGGCGGUUACUUAAGUCGGACGUGAAAGCUCCUGGCUCAACUGGGAGAGGCCGUUCGAAACUAGGUAACUCGAGGAUGGUAGGGGAUAGUGGAAUUCCCGGUGUAGUGGUGAAAUGCGUAGAUAUCGGGAGGAACACCAGUGGCGAAGGCGGCUAUCUGGGCCAUUCCUGACGCUGAGAUGCGAAAGCUAGGGGAGAGAACGGGAUUAGAAACCCCGGUAUUCCUAGCCGUAAACGAUGUCAACUAGGCGUAGGGGGUAUUGACCCCUCCUGUGCUGUAGUUAACGCGUUAAGUUGACCGCCUGGGGACU